GACAGAGGGUGCAAACGUUUGUUCGGAAUUACUGGGCGUAAAGCGCGUGUAGGCGGCUCGGAAAGUCGGGUGUGAAAGCCCUGGGCUCAACCCAGGAAGUGCACUCGAAACUUCCAAGCUUGAGUUUUGGAGAGGAAGGCGGAAUUCUCGGUGUAGAGGUGAAAUUCGUAGAUAUCGAGAGGAACACCGGUGGCGAAGGCGGCCUUCUGGACAGUGACUGACGCUGAGACGCGAAAGCGUGGGGAGCAAACAGG
rnacentral:rRNA from 1 species